CACAGGAGAAUGUGAGCUAAAAUGCAGACAAGUCCUCAAACAUAUAGAUGCAAUGAAAGGUUGUCUAUCAGAUUUCAAAAUGUACAUAUUUUACAUUUUUUAGUCUAGCAUUAUAGUUUGGGAAAAGUUCAACAAGUGAAUGUGUAAGUUUAUGUAACAGUUGUAACACUAUUAACAUAAGUAAAAAAAUAAAUGAGAUGAGAUCGUCUGCUGGAUUGAGCCGUGACUCGCAUCGCAUUCUUCUUCUUUUGAGAGCUGAUGUGGACAUUUACAUAUCUGCGCGUCUCAAGCCUGGUUUUGCGUGGAUACAUAUCUUAUAGCACACGAUGUGAUGAACAUGAUCAUAUUAUAGAUGAGAUCAGACGGGGAAAGACUGUACCUUGCUCUGGUUUCAUACAGAUUAUUUUAUCAGAGAAUAUUUGUUUUUGAUAUGACUUCGCUUCAUUUAAUAAUAGACACUUCAAAAUUCUUUAGAUACAUUCCUCAUGUGAUUUCUCAUUCAUUUUAGUGACUUGUUUCAGGAAGAUAUUCGCAGAGACUGAGAAUGCAGUUGGUUUUACUAUACUUUUGAUCAAAUAAAUGCAGUCCUAGUGA